GACGAACGCUGGCGGCGUGCUUAACACAUGCAAGUCGAACGAAGAGCGAUGGAAGCUUGCUUCUAUCAAUCUUAGUGGCGAACGGGUGAGUAACGCGUAAUCAACCUGCCCUUCAGAGGGGGACAACAGUUGGAAACGACUGCUAAUACCGCAUACGAUCCAAUCUCGGCAUCGGGACUGGAUGAAAGGUGGCCUCUAUUUAUAAGCUAUCACUGAAGGAGGGGAUUGCGUCUGAUUAGCUAGUUGGAGGGGUAACGGCCCACCAAGGCGAUGAUCAGUAGCCGGUCUGAGAGGAUGAACGGCCACACUGGGACUGAGACACGGCCCAGACUCCUACGGGAGGCAGCAGUGGGGAAUCUUCCGCAAUGGACGAAAGUCUGACGGAGCAACGCCGCGUGAGGGAUGACGGCCUUCGGGUUGUAAAGCUCUGUUAAUCGGGACGAAUGGUUCUUGUGCGAAUAGUGCGAGGAUUUGACGGUACCGGAAUAGAAAGCCACGGCUAACUACGUG
rnacentral:rRNA from 1 species